CACAUGCAGUCGAACGGAAAGGCCCUUCGGGGUACUCGAGUGGCGAACGGGUGAGUAACACGUGGGUGAUCUGCCCUGCACUUUGGGAUAAGCCUGGGAAACUGGGUCUAAUACCGAAUACACCUCGCUGGCCGCAUGGUCUGGUGGGGGAAAGCUUUUGCGGUGUGGGAUGGGCCCGCGGCCUAUCAGCUUGUUGGUGGGGUGAUGGCCUACCAAGGCGACGACGGGUAGCCGGCCUGAGAGGGUGACCGGCCACACUGGGACUGAGAUACGGCCCAGACUCCUACGGGAGGCAGCAGUGGGGAAUAUUGCACAAUGGGCGCAAGCCUGAUGCAGCGACGCCGCGUGGGGGAUGACGGCCUUCGGGUUGUAAACCCCUUUCAGCACAGACGAAGCGCGAGUGACGGUAUGUGCAGAAGAAGGACCGGCCAACUA
rnacentral:rRNA from 1 species